rnacentral:rRNA from 1 species
CGACCCGCGAAUAAGUUCUUACGUUUUGGGGCGAGGAUGGCCCGAAGGCGCGGGAUGCGCCAAGGAAAAUCGAAACGAAUCUGACUCCUGCCUCGGUGCAUUGCAUCGUGUCGGCGAGUGUAUUCGAUAAGUCAUAACGACUCUCGGCAACGGAUAUCUCGGCUCUCGCAUCGAUGAAGAACGUAGCAAAAUGCGAUACGUGGUGUGAAUUGCAGGAUCCCGUGAACCAUCGAGUUUUUGAACGCAAGUUGCGCCCGAAGCCUUUAGGCCGAGGGCACGUCUGCCUGGGCGUCACGCACCGUUGCCCCCCAAACCCCCUCAGUCCUCCACGGAGGAUUGGCGAGGCGCGUGGGGGGCGCAAAGUGGCUUCCCGUCGGCUUUGUCCCGCGGUUGGCCUAAAAAUGAAUCCCUAGCCGCGGUGCGCGCGGCAUUCGGUGGUCAUCGAUCCCUUUCGUUACCCCGCCGCGCGCUCACGUGCCGCGAAGGAUGUCACACUAGUAAACCCGACGCCUCGCUUUGUGAAGAGCGGAGCUUACAACGCGACCCCAGGUCAGGCGGGGCUACCCGCUGAA